rnacentral:rRNA from 1 species
AACGAGCGCAACCCCUGUCCUGUGUUGCUACUCCGCAAGGAGAGGACUCUCAGGAGACUGCCGUGGAUAACACGGAGGAAGGUGGGAUGACGUCAAAUCAUCAUGGCCUUUAUGUCCAGGGCUACACACGUGAUACAAUGGUACAGACAGAGGGCUGCAAGACCGUAAGGUGGAGCCAAAUCCCUAAACUAGUAUCCCAGUUCAGAUCGAGGGCUGCAAUUCGCCCUCGUGAAGUUGGAAUCGCUAGUAAUCGCAGAUCAGCAGGCUGCGGUGAAUACGUUCCCGGGCCUU